rnacentral:rRNA from 1 species
UUCUAGAAGACAUCUGAAGGAGAUUAAAGAUUUAUCGGUGAUGGAUGGGGAUGCGUCUGAUUAGCUUGUUGGCGGGGUAACGGCCCACCAAGGCGACGAUCAGUAGGGGUUCUGAGAGGAAGGUCCCCCACAUUGGAACUGAGACACGGUCCAAACUCCUACGGGAGGCAGCAGUGAGGAAUAUUGGUCAAUGGGCGAGAGCCUGAACCAGCCAAGUAGCGUGCAGGAUGACGGCCCUAUGGGUUGUAAACUGCUUUUAUAAGGGAAUAAAGUUAGUCUCGUGAGACUUUUUGCAUGUACCUUAUGAAUAAGGACCGGCUAAUUCCGUGCCAGCAGCCGCGGUAAUACGGAAGGUCCGGGCGUUAUCCGGAUUUAUUGGGUUUAAAGGGAGCGUAGGCCGGAGAUUAAGCGUGUUGUGAAAUGUAGACGCUCAACGUCUGCACUGCAGCGCGAACUGGUUUCCUUGAGUACGCACAAAGUGGGCGGAAUUCGUGGUGUAGCGGUGAAAUGCUUAGAUAUCACGAAGAACUCCGAUUGCGAAGGCAGCUCACUGGAGCGCAACUGACGCUGAAGCUCGAAAGUGCGGGUAUCGAACAGGAUUAGAUACCCUGGUAGUCCGCACGGUAAACGAUGGAUGCCCGCUGUUGGUCUGAAUAGGUCAGCGGCCAAGCGAAAGCAUUAAGCAUCCCACCUGGGGAGUAC